rnacentral:ncRNA from 1 species
GCAAAUAGGGCAUAUCUUGCCUAGGCAAAAUUUUGGGCAGAAAGAAUUUCCGGUGGAGCGGUGAAAUGCAUUGAGAUCGGAAAGAACACCAACGGCGAAAGCACUCUGCUGGGCCGACACUGACACUGAGAGACGAAAGCUAGGGGAGCAAAUGGGAUUAGAGACCCCAGUAGUCCUAGCCGUAAACGAUGGAUACUAGGUGCUGUGCGACUCGACCCGUGCAGUGCUGUAGCUAACGCGUUAAGUAUCCCGC